UUUUGCUGGAGGUUUUUGUGUACUUGAGGCCUUCCAAAGUGAUGACUCAGUGUCUUGAUGACAGCUCCAUGGCAACUCUGAAGUCACUUGGUGAUAACUCCAUAAUGACACAACAAUGGAUCCCUGAGUUCUUGAUGCUGAUUCCAGUGCAACUCCUUCAUAACUUCAUGAUGUCUUUGAAGACUUCAUGAAGAAUUUGUCACAAUCUGAGAACUCACAUAGGAUUGUGUUGAGUAUGUGACAACACUGAGGCUUCCAAAAGCAUUUGUUGUCUUUGAUAUUAAAUCAAUUACAACUUAAACAAUUACACUGAUGUUAGGAUUUUUCUUUUCCCUCCAGUGUUUGUUUUGGAUUUUCCCUGCAGUCCGUGGUUUGGAAAACUCUGUUUCAGAAUGAGUGAACUGUAGGUGCACUUAGCUGCUUGGAUCUGUGUGAGAAGCAUUGUUUCUAAAAACAGCAGUGUGAAUGCUAUAAGUUAUUGAGUAGGAGGGGUGGUAACAAGACCAGCAAAAGAGUUACUUAAUAGUAAUUAAGUAACUCAAUAAUAACUCCUGUUAUUUUGUCUUUCUACAUCUCUCUAAUGUUAUGUUUGCCCCUUCCCCUGUAGCAAGGUUUGCCACCGUGAUGGGCUCUUCUGGGAAGCUAACAUAAAUAUGAUGUCAAACUGUUAUCUCAUGGGCUGAAUGGUGGAACCAGUCUUUGCCUUCUCUGAUCAUGAAUAGCUCGUUGUAUUUAGCACUCAUGUUUUGUUUUGUUUUUUAACUGAGCCUUUGAAUGACUGUGUUCAGAAAGCUCUCAGGAGAAAACACAGACUGGUGAAAAGCAGGUGGAUAAGAGAAAAGAUGGAAGCUAGGAAUACAAGGGGUGGGGGAAGAGAAUGCAUGUUGGUAGAGAAAAGUAAGGAAAAUAACUCCAAGGAAAAUAAUUUGCAAGGAUGAAUAGCCGCCACCAGGAGAUUUCCAUGAUUUACUAUUCAUGCUGAGCAUAAAAGACUGAGUAAAGCAAGGGAAAAACGUGGAGAGUUCCCUCUGGCUCCGAUUUAGCGUGAGGUAUUAAACACCAUUGCAUGGACGGUCCUACAUUGCUUAGAAGCCGAUCAGUCAGAUUAAGAGCUACCAGGAGAGGGCAGCAUAGCCUUAAAUAUAUGUUAAGAGCUCAGUGUUUGGGAAACGACAACUGACAAACAGUUCGUUAUGGGUUACUAGGCAAUAUACUGACGAAGGGAGUUUGCUAGCAGGCACCUCACUGGAAGAAAUACCUUAAUAGGAAGAGAACAAAAAGAUUUUAAAAACAGAAGGAAACAGAAUGUAAUAUUUUAGAGGUGCUUUUCUGCUCAACUGCUGAAGAGGCAUGAAGAGCACUGCAUUAAGUAGCGCAAGCCUAAUGACAGAGACUUAUAGGAGCUCAUUUAGUCAUGCUGCAUAUCAUUCAAAGAUCAUUAUAUGUUUUCAAGGUAAGAGAACUGUUUUAAAGACUCAGAAAUGAAGAAUGGGUAGUAAGUACCCUGCCCAGUGUGCCAUGUGGCAUCAGCAAGGGCCUGUAUUGCUGUGCUCAAAAGCUAACCAUUGGACCGCAUCAAGCAUGUCCUUUACAGGUGUGUAGAGCACUGUUUUAAUGGCAUGUGAGUUUCCAAUGUGCACCUGGCAGACUACUAUUGCAGAUUUUCUUCAUAUGAAAAAAUUAAUGCCCUGCUCUAGUUCAUUUAGUUACAUAAAUAUGAGAGCUUGAUAAACUCUAGCAAAGAUAUGGUAGCUUUGGUUACAGCAGUGGAAACUCUAGUACACCAGCUUCAGAUAGGAGUACUUUUGGUCUGUUAACUUGUAUUUGUCUUCUGUUAGUAGUUGUGCAAUUGUGGAUUAAUGAACUGCUUUAGGUAUGGUUUCUCAGUGAAAUAACUUCAAAGCCAUGCAAUGUAUAAAACCACAUGGCAGAAAAUUCACGCACACACACACACAAAAAAAACCUAUCAAUUGGAAUCUUGUCUCUGCUUUCUUUCUG
ensembl:lncRNA